CAUUGAAAAAAAUUAAGACUGCAUAAAAUUGACACAGGUGGGUAGGUAGAGAAUACCUAGGGGCGCAAGACAACUCUCUCUAAGGAACUUGAAAAUAUAGCCCCAUAACUUCGGGAGAAGGGGUGCCUCCUCACAAAAGGGGUCGCAAUGACCAGGCCUGAGUGACUGUUUACCAAAAACACAAGUCUUCGUAAAGUCGUAAGACCAUGUAUGGGGGCUGACACCUACCCAUUAUCAAAAGGUCAAGGAAGUUGGUGACCUAAUGACAGAGGAGCCGGCGACUAAAGCCCCAGUGAACGGCGGUCGUAACUAUAAUAGUUCUAAGAUAGUGAAAUUCCUUGUAGGGUAAGUUCUGACCCGUAUGAAAGGCAUAACGAUUUGGGAUCUGUCUCAGAGAGAGGCUCGGUGAAAUAGACAUGUCUGUGAAGAUGUAGACCACCCGCACCCUGACAGAAAGACACUAUGAAGCUUCACUGUUCCCUAGGAUUAGCUUUGGGCUUUUCCUGUGCAGCUUAGGUGGAAGGAGAAAAAGGCCUUCUUCCGGGGGGCCCGAGCCAUUAGUGAGAUACCACUCUAGAAGAGCUAGAAUUCUAACCUUGUGUCAAGGCCUACGGGCCAAGGGACAAUCUCAAGUAGACAAUUUCUAUUAGGCGUAGGCCUCCCAAAAGGUAAUGGAGGCGUGCAAAGGUUUCCUCGGGCCGAACAAAGAUUGCCCCUCAAGUGCAAAGGCAGAAGGGAGCUUCACUGCAAGACCCACCCGUCUAGCAAGGACGAAAGUCAGCCUUAUUAAUCCAGAGGUACCGAGUGGAAAGGCCGUCACUCAACGGAUAAAAGUUACUCUAAGGAUAACAGGUUGAUCUUCCCCAAAAACUCACAUCGACAGGAAGGUUUGGCACCUCGAUGUCGGCUCAUCGCCACCUAGGCUAUAGUAUGUUCCAAGGGUUGAGUUGUUCGCCCAUUAAAGCGGUACGUGAGUUGGGUUCAGAACGUCGUGAGACAGUUCGAUCCAUAUUUGGUGCGGGCAUU
rnacentral:ncRNA from 1 species